UUAUCUCUACAAUGUGAUAUUGCAAAAACACUUUUGAAACAAAAGAAAUCUAUUAUUCAGGUAUAUUUAUGACAGAUCUCAAGAGUAUAAACAUUCACAAAGACAACAAUUGAAAUAUACCCACACAUUGAGGAAGUAUAAUAAUGGUCUGUAUUUACCAAUAUCAUAAAUUCUAAAAAAUUCCUGAGCUAUCUAAAAUAUCUAUUUCCUCACUCUAUCUUUUUAGCAGGCUUAAGUUCACCCUACUACUUUUGACUGUGGAAAACCUGGUUAGUGCCUAGAAGACGGAAUAAGAAAAAAUAAAGAAAAUUAUUCCUUGUUCAUUGUUAACAUGACUCCAUCACAAUAAGAAAAUGAGGAUCAAUCAUCACCUGGAGUAACUUGCCCCAAGUUCUCAGGACUAGUAAGUGGAGAAGCAGCUGAAAAAGGAUAUUACACCUUCACUUUCCUCAAGACUGCACAUAUCAAGACAAUGAACCUUCAAGUGCACAGACUAAAUAUGCCCAAGCAAGGGAAGAAAUCCAAUGGUCUAGAGCAGAAGGAUGCAGUGAAGAAAUACUUUAACAUCUAAAUGUUUCAGAAAAAAAUCUAGUGCUUACAAGCUAGCAUGGCUCAGAAGUAUUUUCUACCCUUAUGGCUUUUGCAUCAAGGUUUCUAAUCUAGAAAUAGGUCAGUGUUUUCAUGGUCAGGUAAAUUUGAUUGAGGACACUGAUAACGAAAGAUAAAAUAGGCUCAUUUUACAAGCAGUUUGCAGUAAUGCCAUGAUCUUAAAAUUAGCUGUCUCUGUAUUAAAAACACUUAAUUUUUUAAACAAUCUCCUUUUUUAUCUCCUUUUUUAUAGCAUUG